rnacentral:lncRNA from 1 species
CUUGGAAGGCCCAGGACCACAGUGAUGAUUGCUCACAAUGAUGAUUCCUAUACCAGAAUCAUGUCCAUCUUUGUAGCUUUUAUUAAUUUCUAGGGACAAUCGAGUACACUGGUCAGCCAUGGCUUUGCAAUGAUAGAGAGCUUAAGGAGAUCUUGCAUUGGAUCAAGUAAGGUUUUGAACCUAAACAACGGUGGCAAUAUGGUUUAC